rnacentral:rRNA from 1 species
GCUGGCGGCAGCCCUUAUACAUGCAAGUCGAACGAGAAAGCUUCUUCGGAAGCGAGUAAAGUGGCGGACGGGUGAGUAACGCGUAGGAAUCUACCUUUCAGUGGGGGAUAGCUCGGGGAAACUCGAAUUAAUACCGCAUAUACCCUUAGGGGGAAAGGGGGCCUCUCCUUGGAAGCUCUCGCUGUUAGAUGAGCCUGCGUGAGAUUAGCUUGUUGGUAAGGUAAUGGCUUACCAAGGCUACGAUCUCUAGCUGGUCUGAGAGGACGAUCAGCCACACUGGGACUGAGACACGGCCCAGACUCCUACGGGAGGCAGCAGUAGGGAAUAUUGGACAAUGGGGGAAACCCUGAUCCAGGCAUGCCGCGUGUGUGAAGAAGGCCUUAGGGUUGUAAAGCACUUUAAGUGAGGAAGAAAAGAUUCAAAUUAACACUUUGAAUCCCUGACAUUACUCACAGAAUAAGGACCGGCUAACUCCGUGCCAGCAGCCGCGGUAAUACGGAGGGUCCAAGCGUUAAUCGGAAUUACUGGGCGUAAAGCGCGCGUAGAUGGUUUAUCUAGUUGGGUGUGAAAUCCCUGGGCUCAACCCAGGAACUGCAUUCAAAACUUAUAAACUAGAGUACGAAAGAGGAGAGCAGAAUUCAUGGUGUAGCGGUGAAAUGCGUAGAUAUCAUGAGGAAUACCAGUGGCGAAGGCGGCUCUCUGGUUCGAGACUGACAUUGAGGUGCGAAAGCGUGGGUAGCAAACAGGAUUAGAUACCCUGGUAGUCCACGCCGUAAACGAUGAGAACUAGCCGUUGGAUCUUUAGAUUCAGUGGCGCAGCUAACGCAUUAAGUUC